rnacentral:misc_RNA from 1 species
GAUGAAGAACGCAGCGAAAUGCGACAAGUAAUGUGAAUUGCAGAAUUCAGUGAAUCAUCGAAUCUUUGAACGCACAUUGCGUCCGCCAGUAUUCUGGCGGGCAUGCCUGUUCGAGCGUCAUUUCAACCAUCAAGCCCCCGGCUUGUGUUGGGGACCUGCGGCUGCCGCAGGCCCUGAAAAGCAGUGGCGGGCUCGCUGUCACACCGAGCGUAGUAGCAUACAUCUCGCUCUGGGCGUGCUGCGGGUUCCGGCCGUUAAACCACCUUCAUAACCCAAGGUUGACCUCGGAUCAGGUAGGAAGACCCGCUGAACUUAAGCAUAUCAAUAAGCGGAGGA